GACGAACGCUGGCGGCGUGCUUAACACAUGCAAGUCGAACGGAAAGGCCCUGCUUUUGUGGGUUUCUCGUUUGGCGAACGGGUGAGUAACACGUGAGUAACCUGCCCUUGACUUUGGGAUAACUUCAGGAAACUCGGGCUCAUACCGGAUAGGAUCUCCUGCUGCAUGGUGGGCGUUGGUAAGUUUCGGCGGUUGGGGAUGGACUCGCGGCUUAUCAGCUUGUUGGUGGGGUAGUGGCUUACCAAGGCUGUGACGGGUAGCCGGCCUGAGAGGGUGACCGGCGACAUUGGGACUGAGAGACGGCCCAGACGCCUACGGGAGGCAGCAGGGGGGAAUAUUGCGCAAUGGGCGGAAGCCUGAGGCAGCAACGCCGCGUGCGGGAUGACGGCCUUCGGGUUGUAAACCGCUUUCGCCUGUGACGAAGCGUGAGUGACGGUAAUGGGUAAAGAAGCACCGGCUAACUACGUG
rnacentral:rRNA from 1 species